UACGUAGGGGGCAAGCGUUGUCCGGACUUACUGGGCGUAAAGCGUGUGCAGGCGGGCCGCUAUGUGCCGUGUGAAAGCUCUCAGCUUAUCUGGGAGAGGUUGCGGUAGACAGGCAGCCUGGAGGCUCGGAGAGGUCAGUGGAAUUCUCGGUGUAGUGGUGAAAUGCGUAGAUAUCGAGAGGAACACCAGUGGCGCAGGCAGCUUGCUGGCAUGUUUCUGACGCUAAGGCACGAAAGCGUGGGGAGCGAACAGG
rnacentral:rRNA from 1 species